rnacentral:rRNA from 1 species
UACGAAGGGGCUAGCGUUGCUCGGAAUCACUGGGCGUAAAGGGCGCGUAGGCGGCGUUUUUAAGUCGGGGUGAAAGCCUGUGGCUCAACCACAGAAUGGCCUUCGAUACUGGGACGCUUGAGUAUGGUAGAGGUUGGUGGAACUGCGAGUGUAGAGGUGAAAUUCGUAGAUAUUCGCAAGAACACCGGUGGCGAAGGCGGCCAACUGGACCAUUACUGACGCUGAGGCGCGAAAGCGUGGGGAGCAAACAGG